CCGGAAAAGAAGAUGCUUUCUUCGCUUUUGCUGCUACUUAUUCGGAGAUGUCCAGUGCUAAAAGAACGGUGUGGAAAGGAUAAAGGACCAGAGUGGUCCAAGAUAGACCAUAUACCUUAUGUGGAAAUUGAUAACAGAUACAUCUAUGAUUCCAGCUAAUUCUGUUUCAGAGGAUAAUGGUUCAGACAAUAAUUCUUCAGGGCAGCAAAGUUGACAAGAAAGUUAACGACUCAAAGUCGAUAUGAUAUUAACUACGACCUUAUCUACAAAAUGCUUGUUAUCUGCUGAGGGUAAAGAUUGAACUUUCAGAAAAGGAUUUUCUUUGGUUUUUUGGGACCUACCAACUAUGGAUGUCUGGAAGGUUGAAUGAUCCGUGAGACCAUAGCUGCAGUUGUGAAAAUAACAUUGGUUGCAUCUGGAAACUCAUCUUCUUUAAUCAAUAGUUCCGAACUAGUAUAACUAAAGGUUCUUUCAUUUUAUUGAAAAGAAUCAGAAAAUCCAGAGUUCCUGAGCUCAACUGUGAAAUAACGGCCUAUCAUCUAUGAAUACAUGGAUAAAGGAUUCAUCUAUUACUUGAAGGUGGAAAAAAAACAACCAUUUCAUCUCGCCGAGAAGAAAAUGGCACAAGUAAAGAGUAUACCUUCUUCCAUAUUUGUAAUGAAACCUAAAGACGACAAAUGGAAAGCUGUUUAAUCUCUGAAAAGUAAAGGGAAGAAUGAAUGACUACAAAUUUACAUUAUCCUUUGCUUAUACUCAAGGGUAUGCGGGGAGUCUGUACCACCAGUCACAUGGAUCUUUAUCUGGUGUCUGUCUUUCCUGUCAAUUUGAUUUUCAUCCUUUUUGUAGUAUGAAAUGACAUUAAUUAGAACCUGCAUCCCAACUUUGAGUUAGGAAAAAGGGAACUGAUAAUUAUCUGUUUACAGGCAUUCAUUGAAGUUGCAGAAUGUGCGAGACAGUGUAGAUGGUAAGAAGCUAGUUUUAUUUAAUGUUCAGCUGUUUACAUGUUUAUAGCUUCUUUUUGUACUUCAAUUUCAGUAAUUUCAAACCAAUUGGAGCUCAAUGAAGGUCUACAAGCUAGUUCCAUACUGAAACAUGGUGUGAAAAUGGAUAAUGGGAGGAAGAGAUAUUAAUUACCAACAGAAAUAAUACUUUUUCUGAUAUAAAAUUAAAAAUUUUGCUAAUUCUGAAACCUUUGAUAAAGUCUUUUAUUCCUAAAUUACUUCUUAUUUGCAUGUUAAAUUACAAAACUUUAUUAUUAAUUGCUUUAAUUGAUAGAUAUUUUAAAAACUGUUUUAUGUUUUCAUAUCAUUUGAUUAUUUCUCAAAGAAAGAGUAUUUGUUCUUAUUGCAUGUUGUUUAACCUAUAGAUUACAAUUUCUAAGAAAUUGAUGUGAAACCUUUAAUUUUUUUUCUAUUUUUUUUAUAAGAUUGUAAUAAAACUUGAACCAGGGAACUUAAAGAAGAUAAAAAAUGGUAAGUGGCAGUGCGGCACAGAUACUGUUUCUUACCAGAACAGGCAAUGCAGGACAUAUGUUGUUUCUUACCAGACCAACUGUACAGAUGCAUUGAGCUUAUGCUUUAUGGAGAAGCUUCCCUGCCUGUGCCUCAAUGUCUGAGAAAUGUAGAUACUGUACCAGCAGUGACGUUGAACCUAGGCAUCAGUAUGUGACACCAUUGAUGCAAUGACUAAAAGAAACACCUAAGCUUGUUCUCUUCUUUUCCACUAAACCAUCUUAACUGGUUGAGUUUUUCUUUGUAGUCAAUCCAUGCCAUUGUUUUAAGCCGUCGGUAAAAGUGGGUACUAUUUUGUUUGGAGACAUGAUGUAUCCUGGUUACAAGCAUGUUAAACCACUUAAAAGUGUGCAAGGUUUACAAAUUACAAUCUGUGUACAUUGUGAUUACUGUAGCAGGCUAACGCAAGUCGGAGAUCAGAACUCUUGGAUCUCCAUGUGGAUUUGGCUUUCUGGCCUAUAAAAGGACUAAAAGGGUUUACGAAGAGUUCAAAUUACAGAAGCUGUUGUUCUACAAAAGCAAAUGAAGUUUAGAAAUGCAAAUAGAAACAAUUUGCAACAAUCACCAAAUCUAGGUAGGUAGAAGGACAAUGCUACUCUGAUUCCUCUGCUGCCACUACCAUUCACCAUAGCCUUGUGCAGCUUGAUCGGCUAAUAUCAACUUCUUUGCCUUGAUCAGAACUGAACUGAUAAAUGAUGAGAGAUAACAAUGAUACUAAUAUCAGUGGCACUGUCAUAUUGAAUUUUCAAUUUACUUUUUACUGUUUCAUCUGCUUGGAAAAUAUUUUUAUUUGCUUCGACUUGAUAUUUUAUGAGAUUAUUUUUUAACUUUUCAUGAGAUUGUGUCUGUGUGCUAGGUGAUGAUUAUGAUUCAACUUAAAACAGAUCUACAUAUAUAGAUAAUGUUCAUAGAUUCUCAAAAUUCUUUAAAACACUCUUUUUGUCAAUAACAUUAGUAAAUUUAUCAAUUUUUUUUUAUCUGUUAUAAGUGAACACUUUAAUAAAAAAAAUCUUAUAUCCGUCAUUGAUUCAACACUGCCAAUUUUGGUUUAAUGCACAUAUAUUAGACUAUGUACAAAGCAUAUGCCUUCCAUUGUAACCCUGUGAAGACAUGGGAUGCCAUUCUCUGCUCUUAUGGACCUUGCAAUCACAACCAUUACUUCAUCAACUUACUUCGGCUAGUCCCAAGCAAUGCUAAAUGCAUUUUGCUGUUGUUGAAACUGGGUUCAGCUUCUUACUUUCUUUUACACCCUCAGCAACCAAGAGCUUUGGCAUAAAGAAUUAAGCUGUCAAUCUAUACAGAAUAUAAUUUUGAAAAUUCAUUUUGUCCCAUUUUGAGAAGUUUGUUCAAUGUUAAUGCAAUAGUCUCAAGGCAUUGGAAGGUUAAUUCUAAUCUUGUAUUCAGUGAAAACAUUUUAAAAAAUUAUAUGAUUUAUGUUUGUUUCUAGUCUGUUCCAAUGUUGAUGGUAGAUUUUUUGCACUAGAAAUGCUACAAUUAUGGAAUUAGGAAAGAUUUAGUGCUAACACUGUAAAAAAAUUGAAGGGCCUCCAUAUUUAAUAUAUGUAGGACUCUUAUAUCAAUUUAAAAUUAAUUGCUUUUAUUAUUUGCAGAACUUCCUCCUUGUAUCCAUCCAUAACCAGAUAACCUUCUGUGAUAUCACUCUAGCCAGCCUAAAAUUGCGAUCUUGCAGGCUAUCGACAGUGAGGGCAAUCUCUUGCAUCUGAAAUGAGAGCAUUGCUUGUGCUAGAUCAGUUUCUUGCAGCCAUUUUUUUUAUGACUGAAACUUUCAUUGGCAUUGGGCCUCAUAAUUUGGAACCCAUUUUCAAAUCCUAUCAUAUAUCAGAUGUCAUGCUUUAUGAUUUUUCACAAUAAUGACUGAAGUCCAUGGGUCAAGACAGAAAUGUCAGGAUAGGAGCAGGGCUUGCUUGACAGCCCAACGUCCUUGACUUGGGGACUAAUGGGCACCCAUCACGCUCAUUAAAUCUGUCAACUUGCGCUUAUUUUUUGAAAUGGUCCCUUCUCAAGGACAAUGGCCAUUGAAUUGGUUGCUGCCUCAAGAACAGAUAAUGUUUUGGCAUUGCUGUUAAAGUGUUAAUACAAUAGACUUUGAUGUACUAACAUAACUGAAGUAGGCCAAGUGUGUAUUGCAAACUCCCUAACUUGAUGUGUUUGUUUGUUGUUCUUCCUUGUUGCAUAUGCAAAGAUAGAUUCCCUAACUAAUUAACCCCAGAGGGAGAUGGACGGUUAAAUUUGGAAUAAAGAGAAUGAUAGGCUGAUGCAUUAAUUUCCUCGAGAGGAACUUUUAUGAAAAAAGGUAAGAGAACUAUUAAGGGAAUAAUUAUAAGAUACACUAACCAAACUUAGUAAAUAAAUUCUUCAAAAUUUCCAACCCCAAUCAGUCAUCCAUUUAUAGGAAAAAAUAAGCAUAUCAAUUAGUAAGGCAUGGAAUAGAUGGAAUAUUUUUUAUUUUCAU